ensembl:lncRNA
CAGGGAGCCCACCCAGAACAACAACCCAAAUUCCAUCUUAAUCACAAACUGACUUUUCUUCAGCAUAUUGACGCUUUGUUUCUGGACGAGUACCAUGACCGCCUGUUCCUGGGGGGCAAAGACGUCCUCUACUCCCUGAGACUGGACCAUACCAACCUGGACUCCAAAGAGAUCUACUGGCCUCCGUUGCCUGGUAACAGAGAUGAAUGUGUCCAGAGAGGGAAAGAUUCUCAGACGGAGUGUGCCAACUUUGUGCGCCUGCUGCAGCCCUAUAACCGCACCCACCUGCUGGCCUGUGGUACGGGUGCAUUCCAACCCAUGUGUACCUAUGUGUACCAUGUUUUCACCAUGGACCCUACCAAAAUGGAGAACGGACGGGGGAAGGUUCCUCACGACCCCAGCCUCCCCUUCGCUAGCACCUUAAUUGGUGGGGAGUUAUACACAGGGCUGACUGCAGACUUCCUGGGUAGAGACUCAGUGAUCUUCCGUAGUCUGGGAGGUCGCUCCACCAUGAGGACUGAGACGGACCAGAGACUGCUGCAUGAUCCUAAGUUUGUUGCGGCCCACCUCAUCCCUGAUAAUGAUGACCGUGACAAUGACAAGGUGUACUUCUUCUUCACGGAGAAGGCCAUGGAGGCCGGGAACAGAGAGGGGGCCAUCCACACCCGAGUAGGACGUGUGUGUGCGAAUGAUGUAGGUGGACAGAGAGUGCUGGUGAAUAAAUGGAGCACCUUCAUCAAGGCCAGACUGGUGUGUUCUGUACCUGGGCCUCAUGGCAUUGACACACACUUUGACGAGCUGGAGGAUGUUUUCCUGCUUAGAGGCAAGGAUGAGAAGAACCCAGAUGUUUAUGCCAUCUUCAGCACCAUCAGUAACGUGUUCCAAGGCUUUGCAGUUUGUGUGUACCGUAUGGCAGACAUCAGAGAAGCCUUCAACGGGCCUUUUGCACACAAGGAGGGACCUGACUACCAGUGGGGGGCUUACGAGGGCAGAGUGCCCUAUCCAAGACCUGGGGUGGUGAGUAAUACCAUACAUACCAAGGACUUCCCAGACGCAGUGCUCCAGUUUGCCAGAGGGCACCCCCUGAUGUGGCGACCGGUGUACCCAGCCAUGAAGCAGCCUCUGCUGGUCAAGGCCAACUUGCCCUACCGCCUCAAACAGAUCGUGGUGGACCGUGUAGAGGCAGAGGAUGGACAGUAUGACGUCAUGUUCAUAGGCACCGACAUAGGCACUGUUCUGAAGGUCAUUGCAUUGCGCAGCGGCAACACUCUGGACACAGAAGAGGUCACUCUGGAGGAGCUGCAGGUCUUUAAGGUGCCAACUCCCAUUACCUCUUUGGAGAUCUCAGUAAAAAGGCAAGCACUGUACGUGGGUUCUCCGGUGGGUAUGGCCCAGCUGAGGCUUCACAGGUGUGAGACGUAUGGGAAGGCCUGUGCUGAGUGCUGCCUGGCCAGAGACCCCUACUGUGCCUGGGACGGCACCUCCUGCACUCGCUACACCUCGCUCAGCAGACGCCGCUAUCGCCGUCAGGACAUCAGGCAUGGCAACCCGGCCCUGCAGUGUAUGGACCAGAACCUCAGUGUGGAGGAGCUGGACGUAACAGAAGACAGAGUUGUGUACGGGACAGAGAACAACAGCACCUUCCUGGAGUGUGUUCCCCGCUCCCCACAGGCCACUGUUACAUGGCUGCUCCAACGAGACGGCCGCAAGGAAGAGGUGAAGCUGGAUGACCGAGUGAUGCAUAUGGAGCAGGGCCUGCUCUUCCGCCGUGUGUUCCGUCAGGAUGAGGGUGUGUAUGUGUGUCUCUCCCGUGAGCACGGCUUCACCCAGACCCUCACCCACCUCUCCCUGGAGGUCCUGCAGGGGAACACACUGAGUGAGCUGCUGGCCCGUGACGACACCCCCCUCGACGGUCCCCUGGGGGUAAAGGGGUACCGGUCCUGGCCACCCUGCCAUGCUUACAGGAGCAUCAACCCCCUCAGCCACCUGCGCCCCUGGUUCAAGGACAUCAUGCAGCUGAUUGGCCCAUCCAACCUGCCGCACGUGGAGGAGUACUGUGAGAGGAUGUGGUGCAACGACAAGCUGCGGCGUAAACACAAGAGCAUGCUGGACAAGUACCGGCAGGCACAGGAUAGCGCGCGCAAGACCCGCAAUAAGGGCUCCGGGGAACGCAACCGGACGCCGCGGGACGUCAGCAACCGACAGCCGUAGAAGGGAGGGAGAAACAGAUGAAGGGAGGAGAAAGAGAAGGACUACAUGACAUGAUGAAUGAGAGAAGGAAGAGGUGGUAGUGAUAUGUAUUGUAGAAAGAUGUACUGCCAACAGAGAUGAGGGUUGAGACUGAUUUAGAGGCAGAAGGGAGGAGGAGAAAGAGAGCGACAGGUACUCAUGGCACUCAUCAACUCUCAUUUGCUUCAUGAAAAACCCUCAACUGUUUCCACAAAGGGACCCUUUUCUUCUCCACGCACCCUUGCAACCUCAGUGUCUCUGUAUGAUUAUGGAUUGACUGUAACAUGCUGCAAAUAGUGUGUGUGUUGGACUGCUACAACUGAUCUCCUUCAACCCAACAUUGCACUCAUUUCUCUUAGGUCAUUGAGCCCAUUCCAUGUUACCCAUUCUGUGAUUGCUUCUGUGUUCUUCGCUCUGUACCCCUUAAAACGGCAUUUUCGGAGCCUUUGCCUUACCCUGCACCUCAACACACACUACACUGCUAGAAAAAACAUUGUCCUAUGGCUCACUUCAUAUACAGUCAAAAAGUUAUUUAAAGAACCCCAAAGCACCGUUAUUUUUUAGCAGUGUAAUCCCAUCACCCUGCAAAUAAUUCACAACAGCAAAUUCUAUCCACACACACUCACACACACUGUUGAGCGAACAUACAAGCACACUCACACAACCAUCACUCAACCAGCCAUAACAACACACAAGCACACUCACACAACCAUCACUCAACCAGCCAUAACAACACACCAGACAAUUGCUUUAACUGGAAGUUGCCAUGAGACGAUUGUUGACGGUUCAACAGAGAAAAGGCCUGUUUGUUGCUUUGUAUUAUCAGCUAGACUCCAGGUCCCACCAUUCCUUUGUCUGUCGUAGGUGUUGUUCUCACUCCUGACAAAGGAAGGAAAAUAAAAAGGGUCAUUGGCGCUGGCUGAAUGUUCUG